rnacentral:tRNA from 1 species
AAGGGUAUAGCUCAAUGGUAGAGUGCGUGCUUAGCAUGCAUAAGGUACUAGGUUCAAUCCUCAGUACCUCCA